UACGGAGGGGACUAGCGUUGUUCGGAAUUACUGGGCGUAAAGCGCACGUAGGCGGAUUUGUAAGUCAGGGGUGAAAUCCCGGGGCUCAACCUCGGAACUGCCUUUGAUACUGCAAAUCUCAGUCCGGAAGAGGUGAGUGGAAUUCCUAGUGUAGAGGUGAAAAUUUCGUAGAUAUUAGGAAGAAACACCAGUGGCGAAGGCGGCUCACUGGUCCGGUACUGACGCUGAGGUGCGAAAAGCGUGGGGGAGCGAACAGG
rnacentral:rRNA from 1 species